AGCUCAGUAGGGGCAGACGGGGUUGUGUAGUAAGAUCUGAGGGGGACAGAGGGGUGGCUGUGACCUCUCUUCCCUGAAGUAAUACAGAUGACUCAGCUGAGCAGUUUGAAAGUAGAAAGGAUCUGAAUAUCUGCUCCCAGCCUGAAGCUCUUCCUUUUCUUCAUUUGAUAUUUACAGGGCUGCUGAGAUCAAGUUUGGAUUUGAGUGAAAAGUAAAUAGGCCCUCAGCAAGGGUGAAGCGGCCGGGUUUCAGUCAGCCUGGCCCAGUCAUCUGUAUUAGUUUUGUCCUCUUUUCCCAGCCCCGUCAGCCCUGGGUAUUAAAAAGCACAGCAGUGAGCAUAGGUUGAGGGGUGGAGAGUGGAUGUGCUGCACACUAAAAUCAGCGGCAAAAUGUACCCUCAGAGCCGUCUCUCGUGAGCCUCGCUGAAAACUAAGAAAUGAGCUGAGUGCUUCAUUUUGUAGGUGCUGCUUCGGGGGUUCCUUGCUUGGGGGAGAGAGUUGAAUAGAAGGAUCCUGUUCUUAUCACCCUAGGUUCAUGCAAUGUCUCAGACUUAACCUUCUGUGAAUAAACCAGCAACUCUGAGUGAAUAUCCCCACAGUCCAAUGAAGAAACUGAGGCAAAGCCUAGAACAAGCUCUUACCUUCUGGAACUGGGUCACAUCCCGUGUCUGUCCCAGCUUUUUCUGUCCACAUUCCCACUUUCUCCCAGAUUAGGAUUUUGGGAAGAGCACAUUUUUGCUAUUCUUGGUGGGCAUGGACCAUACAGAAACCUCUUACCAGGACCAUUCUUUCUGCCACAGCAGACUGAGCUAUGACAGGUCAAGGGCACCGCUUACAAAAUAAUAAACUUGAGGAGAAGGCCGUGGGGCCAGUCAGCCGUGUCCUCAUGGCAGGUGGGCUUGGCAGGAAGAGGACACCCACGACUCACCAUAUCUUUAAUCUGGCAGUGCCCAUAGCUGAAGACGAUGGCGUUAGGGGGGUUUCCCACUGGCAGCAUCACUGCAAAGGAGAUGCACAUGGUGACUGGGAUCAGGGUGUAGAGUGGAUUUAUGUGCAGCGUUUCGGACUAGGAGAAGAGAGAAUUCACAGAAGCAUUAGCCUUGAGAUUAGACUUGCAUUUCCUGUGCUUACUCUCAUGAAUGUGCUUUAAAUGAUGGCUCAGUGUUGGCUAACCUUGGCUGGACACCAUGUGCUGGGGGCAGUUAAAUCACACCCUCAAAAGCAUGUAGUGCUGGGCUACUUGGACGGGUUCCCGCUGCUCACUCACUUCCCAUGGAAACACGGGCUCCAAGUUACUUCCCAGAAGGGAUGUUUCAUUCCUUGGUGCUGGUCUAAGGAAGUGGUUUUAAAAUUUGAUUCUUUAGCUGAGAAAUUCUUCAAACACAAAUCUCAUGAAUAAGCUGCUUUGAUUGGAGUAGGCAUCUCUCGCUCUUGGGGUGCAGAAUUAAGCUUUUUUUGUCCUAGGUAAGAUAAUUGCCUUACAUGGGACGUGAGCCCGUGGUCUUACCCUCAAUGUUGCCAAGUUUUAACUAAGUGCAUUCCCAUGCUCACACAGGCAGGGUGACGGAAGGGAGAAGUUGGAGGGAGUCGUCUGAGCAAUGAGCAGAGUGGCUGGGAGGAGUUUGGGGUUAGAAGGAGCAGGAAGACAUUAUUUUGUUGGCAAUGAGAAGGAGCCUUCAUUUUACAGGUUCCACCUCACAGAAUGGGACAGAGGCAGCAUUUUGUUUGGUGCAUUACCUGUGGGGCUGCUUAGCCAGGCUGAGAUCUGGCAGUUGCUCCCUCCCCUAUUCCAUUAAUAACAAAUUGUUCUGAGACCGUGGAAUGAGGCUGGCAUUGCUCAUAAUUCUCAGAAUCUCCUGGACAGAGAAGCUGGGUGGAGGUGCUGAUGACAGAGCUGUGGUUUUGGUCUCUGCAGCCGAGAGUACUUCUGGGAGCAUUUUGCCUCCAUUUUCUGUAGCUAUUUCUCCCGCCCUCCUGUUAGGUCUCAUCUUAGGAGAGAAAGGUUGAUGACGAUGGUGGGGAAUUAGAAUCCUAGGGUUUUAAGGUUAUCUUGUCCACUCUUGUUUCCAUUCAGGGCUGCCCCUAAACUAAGCCUAGUCCUUUGGAAAAGGGUUUCUAGAACUCUUGCUGUUAUUAAUUAUCUAUUUACUUAUCAGUUACUGUUUGAAAUGGACUUCAUUUAUCAAACUAUGGCUUGAACACCAAUCAGUGAAGGCUGUGGCAAUGACCAGAAGAGAGAGUCCAGCCGUGGAACUGCCCCUGGGCCCGGGCCUGCCCCUGUCUGUUCCUGUGGUAGCCGGUCUGGAUAUCUGGGAACCCUGCUCUACUCACCAGACUGCACAGGAUGGGCAGGAAGAUGGUGAUGGUGGCCGGAUUGCUCACAAACUCUGUGACAAUGGACACCAGGAUGCAUGCCAGCAGGGUGACGGCCCACGGUGGGAGGCUACUCAGAGACAACAUCUGGUGCCCGAUCCACGUGGAAAGGCCGGAGCUCUGCAGGAGACAUGGUGAUGCAGUGAGAAGAAAGCGGGAAAGGCCACUCCCAGUGGAAUUCUUAGCCUCCAGAAGGCCAGGGAUGGUGAGGGGCUGAAAGUGACCACCAGGAGUCAUCUAAUUUGCUUCCCUGUUUUCAGGCAGACUGGACCCACAGGCAUUCCUGAUUUUUUAUGGUUAGAUCACUAUGUAGCCCAGCAAAUUCUUUUUUUUUUUAAAUGAUUGUACACCCUUCAGUCUAAUUAGGGCCUCCUGGUCAGUCAUUGUCACAGGGCAUGGAGAGCCUCUACUUGCUGAGAUCCUCCUUAGCCCUGAUAUGACUUGGCAGGGAUUGGAGAUCUUUGGGGUGAUGAGCCCCUCAACUUCAAACUUGUUACUCUUUCUCCAGCCUCUGACAGUCUCAUGCUGUGCAUUCAAUCAACAAUGCCCUUUACACAGAUUGCCAAGUGUAAUCCUUAAUCCUGCUUUUGAAAUCUAUUUCUCUUAUCACCCGUGAAAUGGGAAAAAUUAUCAACAUGUUUGGAUAGUAACCUUUCCUCUGGUUUUGGGGGCCUUGAAUGGGCAAGACUGAAAAUUAGAAGUUUUACAUGAGUAAUGAAGGAGAGAGGGAUUACAGGUCUAUCUCCACGUAGUGGGGAAGGUGCCACAUCACUGGCCUAGAAACAGUCAUUCAGUCUCAACCUGUGUUAGGUUCAAAUCUCAUCAUGGCUGACAUCAGGAUCUACCAUCUGCCCAUGCUUUUUGGCAACACGAUAUAAAGGCAUAUUGCCACCAUUGAACAUUUUCCAUUAGCAACACCUGUACACAUCUACUCAAAUCAAUGAAUAUUCCCAUUUGGAAUAAUUCAUUAGGUUGGAAGAUGUUCAUCUGCCAAUGAUGAGGGCUCUCCCCCUCCCCUAAAAAUGAAGGGCACAAAUGAGUUUAUGUUCUUAAAAAACCCCAGGUUGCCAUAUGCCUUCAACAGCUCUCCCCACCCUCCCUCCUCUCCCUUCUAUGGUUGACAAGCUCUGACUUUUCCUAUUUACCCUCUAGAUUGCAAAUGCAAUAAAGAAAUGGGCAGUAGGGCAGAAAGCAAGGUGAGACAUUUUAUGAUUCCUCAAGCUGUAAGCCCUACUCAUGUUCUACUGUUAAAGACUGCCUUACUACACUGUCAGCAGGCCACCCUUUCUCCUCUUUUCCAGGUUCAUCAAAACCUCAUUUGAUCUCCACAGCACCCUGGCCACUUCCUGACAUGCUCAUAGACGACUGAUGACCAAAGGGCUUCAGAAUUCUCUCAUGUAGCCAUUUUUACCUUGGACCACUUCCCUUUCUUUUUUCUCAACUGACCGAGAGCUAUAAAUCCAGUAUGUGGGGACUACCUCAAUUAAUGGUGGGUGCAGAGUCUCGAGGCCUACAGGAACUCUGUAAUUGUUAUCUCUUGUGACACAUUAAACUUUGCUCUCUGGACAAAGAGAGGGGAGGGAGAGCAGUUAGCUGAGUGGAAACAGUAUGUUUUAUAAAGAAAUGGAUUUUUAUUUAUCAUGUUUUCCACAUAGUACUUGUAAGUAAAGUGAAAUAACUUAAUGGCAAUUUUUUUUUUCAGAACAACUAGUUGAUACUAUAAUGAAAUAAACUGGUAAAUUAGACUGCAAAGUUAGGGAAAAAACCACAACAAAGGAAACCUUAAUUUUUUAAACCCUUGGUAUGAAAACAUUUUUUAUUGGAUUUUCCUCACUAAUGUUAAGACUGAAAUUAUUUGAAAUUCAGUAGGAAUCACACAUAUUGUACCUGAAUUAUAUUAUUAAAGUAGUAGUCAGUAGGUUCUACAGUUAUACCAACUAUACAUGCACAAUUUUGGUUAAAAAAGAAAAAAAAAAGAUCUUGCCAGGCUAGGCUCAGAGGCCAAAACUAACCACUGAAAUUCAACAAGGAUAAAUAUGAUAUUGUGAACUUGGAAUCAAAAAUAUUGACAGCAUAUAUACAGGAUUGGUUGAAGGACUUGAAGCUUAAUAGUGGCUAACAAUGAAAAGAAUGAAGCGUUUUAGUUGACUGCAGUUUCAAUACAAAUAUUGACAUGAAUGACAAUGAAGCCUUAUAAAAGCUUCCAUAAAAAUACAGGAUGGGACUUGGGUAAUUAUGUAUUCUACCCUGCACUAGACCGACCACCCCUGGACUGUGUUUGAGCAAAGGCAAAGUGGUCCUAAGGAGAAAGACCAGCAUGGUAAGGGGUCACUACUAUGAGGAAUGGUUAAAGGAACUAGGGAGUUUUAGUUGGAAGAAAAAAAUGAUCUCAAGGGACCUGAUUGUCUUUGUUGUUUUAAUAAUUAUUACAGGAGAGGAGAGGGCUCCUGAGAAGAAAGCCAGAACAAAGAGUGGAAGACAUCCAGAAGACCUGAACUGAAAGUAAAGAACAAUAUUCUUUGUUGGCUGUGCAGGGCUUGCCCUGUCACUGGAGGUGUCCUGGAGGGAAAUCUCUAUUUGGGUGGGAAGAUGGGACUCAGUGUCGCUCCAUGGCUCCUUCCAAGUGGAGGAUUCUGUGACUUUGUUACUGAUGCAGAAAGCAUUUAGGCCCACAAUGAAUGGGCAGUGAAAAGUGAGCCAAGUUUAGAAUGGGUGAACGUAGAUAGACGAGCUAGAGGAAGAAAACAGGGAGACCCCUAACCUGCUUGAUUCUUAGGGCUGUUUAUUUCAGGAAGGGCUAACAAUCUGGGAAAAUCAACUAUUUCCCACCAGCCCCCUUUAAAAGAUCUCAUCCCGAAUCCUCCCAGUCAGGAAGUGGGGGGCAUUUACAUCUGCUUUAGCAUACAUUCUCCAAAGGGUCUCAAUAUAUGCAUAUGGAGUCCAUAUGCAUAUGGACUCACAAGUUGCUGUGAGUCAAUCUGGAGCAUCUCAGGGCCCUUACACCUUACACCUAUCACCACUGUCAAAACUCCAGAAGGACAUGCCUACAAAGUCUAGUACAUCUUUUGCUUGUAGCAGUGUGGGCCCAUAGUGAGGUGUGAAUGCCUGUGUGCCGUGACUGUGGCACAGCUAUCUGUAACUCUGUUCCCAGUAGUGCCAGCUUAGAAGGUGGGACAGGAUGUCCAUUCCUGGCUGAACUGCUUCCCUUCCCAGUGACUUGGGUGAACAUUCACCUCUCAGCGCUUUGAAUCUUCCUUCCCGGCACCAUAAUGACUCAUUAGGUCAAGCUGCUGGAAAAACAUUGGACCCAAUAAGAACAGAUUCAAGGGUUACCUUGCUGCCAGAAGCCAGAGCAUAGCCUCCUCCCACCAGAAUGACAAUCUCCCAGGGCAUGGUCUUCUGGAAGUCCUUCCACGUGAUCAUGGGCUCUGUCCUCGGUGAGGGCUCCUGGUCUUCCCCUGGAUCACAGGUAGACAGCGAGGCAGAGCCAGAUGAACCCUAAUGGGUGUGAUUUGUGGAGACAGGGGCCUAAUUGAUGAACCAGAGGAUACUGUGCUAUUCUGGGAGGAGUUGGAAGGGCUUUGGUAAGGCUUCUCCCAAAAUUCUGACUUCAACCAUUAUUUGACUAGAGCCAGCCCCAACUUCUUCUCUUGAACUCCUCUCACCAUCGUUCUUUUUCCCGAAGCAAGGCUUCUUCGCUGGAAUCAGGAAGAGGAGGAAGCCAAGGAAGACAGAGACUGUGGCGUCAGUGCGGUAGCCCUUCCUGGCGAAGAGACAAGAAAAGCUGGGGAGAGGGUCAGGAAGCCCAGGGGUAACACAGUGUCUCAGGACAGCCUGUCUGAACACAGUGCCUCUCUUGACCUAGUCUAGAGGGGAUGUCAACCUUCCUUCUUGCCAGUUGCUGCCAUGCUGUCCGGUGGUGGAUUUAAUGGGCAACAGUUAAUGUCUGGGGGCAGGGCCUGGUUAGGGUAGAUGUCUUAGUGUGAAUUUAUGGACCUAUUAAAAGGAGUGGUCAGGAGUUAUUUAGAUAAAGGAGACUAGAAAAAGAUGAGUUCUCUUUCCUGGGAGGGUCACUAGCUGGCACUGAGAGCUUGUGGCCUGUGGCCCUGGCCCUCGGGAAUAUGUAGGGAUGGGACAGGCCUUGGCCAUGAUGGCCAUGGUCUUUACAGGUGGUGUUUUACUCUACAGACAUAUUCUCCUUUAACUCUCAUAACAAUUGAGGUUCCAAGAGCUUAAGUAACAAGACCAAGGUCAUGUGGAUGGUAAGUGGCAGCUCUUGAUCCCAAGCCUGGACUCAGACUCCAAAGACUAUUUUCUUCCUGACUCCACACUGCAGCUUCCCUAAAAAUGGGGGACUUUCAAGGGAACAAAGUGCUUCCUGGGUUCACGACUAUCCCGAAGAAUCUGGGAGGGGACACCGGCGGGUACUGCCUGAAGGGUUUGGGUUAGCGGGUUGUUCUCAGAGACAAUAUCCUUUACUUUUCAAAGAAGGAAUCCCAACCAGGAACAAAGCCAGGCUCCCGGGUAAACCACAGCACCGUCAUCAGGAUGAAGAAAAAUCCAGUCACCAUUUCCGGGUAGCUAUAAAAGAAAACAGACCCACUCCAGGAACUGGGAAGUUUCUGUUGGCUUUCACACUUUGCUUUGGGAUGCUCCUGUAUGCAGAGCUCCAAUAGUGGAGACCUAAAACACAGCUACUGCUUAACCACUUGGACUUGGAAUACAGCAGAGGGGAAGGGUGGCCCUUAGAGUCUGGGCCAGCUUGACUUUGGCAUUAAGUAGCACCUCUAAAUACCUAGAUUCAUAGUUGAGGAAAAUUCCCCCAGCUCAAGGGACCACUGAGAACAAGGCUGCUUCUGUGCACACUUUACCUGCCACACUUUCUCCUGGGGAAGGAGAGAGGGUGAAGGGCUGAUUCUUACGUAAUGGCUCCCAGCUUUUCAUAUUCCUCUUGGAUCCUCUUCUCUGAUAACUCUUCCCUUUUGGUCUUCUUCUUCUUACUCAGAGAGCAGGUCUCUUUAAAACUGAGAUGGGAGAAUGAGCAAAAGAAUAAAGGAAGCACACUUCUGAGGCCCAGAGGAGAACAGGUCUUAAGCAAAUACCAAACUACUGGCUGGCUGGCUGUGAUGGCGCUUCUCUCCACUCGCCCCACCUAUCACGCGACUUGACCUCUUGAUCUGCCAAGUUACACAGCCUCUCAUCAGCCUUCUCCCCAGCCUUUCGGAGCUCAGAGUGAAGUGCAGAGUCCAUGUAUGUUCAGAGUGUCUAGAAGACGUGAUGCCCGACUCCUCAUCUAGUCCACUGCAUCCUUCGGGCACCCUCUGUGGUUACUUGGCAGCUCCCCGUUGGAUGGCACCCUCCAGGGCUUGCGCCAUGGCCCUGGAUGGACAGGAGAGCCUUGCUGGCAGGGCCCUGGGACUCACUUGCAGCCCAGGAACAGCCAGUGCAUCCAGAACCAGCUGACCACCAGCAUGAUGAGGGAGAUGGGGAAGCUGAAGAGGAACCAGGUGCCAAAGUUGACCACUUCUGCUGCUGGAUACUGGCUGGAGGGGAAAGAACCAGAGAUUUCCUUGUGUCUGGUUGAUGAGUUCUGUGCAACAGAAGGAUCAUCUCUCCUCUCUGAGACCAUUUCCUGGGAACAGGGCCAUCGUCAGGGAGGAAGACAGAUGGACCAAUGAAUCAUUCGUGCAGAUAAGCUGGGUGCUGUGAUCUGUCACUCAGUCAACGCACAACUUGCUCAAGACUGGUCAGUAAGAAAACUGGAUUCAAACUCAGUUCGACCCUACUCCCAACUUGGAUCCUGACCCUCUCCACAUUGCCAGUGUCCUUGCUUAUAGUGGUGGCAGCCAGAGACUGGCAGAAUGCGUGGAUCUGAACGUGUCCUGACGUAGGCAUUGGUGGCGUUGUAUGGGCCCCGUCAGAAAUGCAGCCAAUCAGCACGCUGCUGCUGGCUGGACACACCUAGGCUCUCCUUGCAAGUUGCUGUGGCUGUGCCUCUUCACGCGGCAGGAAUGUGGCAUUCCCUCAGGAGACCAGUGGUGGUCUCUGGAAACGGACCUAUUUUGAGGCUCUUUUGGUUCAUCUGAACAAUUUUGCUGCGACCCCAGGAUGGGAUGCCUGGGCUGAGCUAAACCCCCAUCAGAGCUGAAGCCCCUCACUACACCAUUCCAACCGCCACCCUGGCAAUGCAGCCAAGUCCGGCGUGGCUGCCUCUCCGCCUUUCCCUGGGGGCAGGAAUGCUGUUUCUGCUGAAGAAUGCUGAGGCGCUGCACGAGCACCCCACUCCCUCCACCGACCUCCCCUCUGACCUCCCACCUGACCCCCUGGCCCCAGGAGGGGACCGGCUGGUACUCACGCUGCUGGGGUGAAGCAUGGGCAGAGGCAGCAGCAGGAGCGGCACGAAGAUGACGAGCAGCAGCUUCCUGGCUCGGUGGAGGCCCUUCAGCAAGCCCAUCCUGGACCUCCUCCCCUUGGAGCCCGCGCCUGCCAAGUGCCUGUGCUGCUGGCGACACUCGCCUCCCUCCAGAAACACUCCUUCAACCUUUCUCGGCUUCCAAGAGUCCUCUCUCGUCUUAAGAGCAGAACAGGAGGGCAGGUAGAGCCUCUGUUUGCAACAAAGGCCGGCCUCCUCGCCUUCGGUUUUAGGUGGGAUUGGUGAGCAUAGUUUUAUGCCCAGCAAAAAGGAAGCGGGAAAGGAUGCUAAACGGGGGCAUAAUGGCUCUCUCUUUGCUUGAUCAGUAAUGGAGUAACUUCAUUCCAAAGCUCAGCAAAGGCCCCCUUAAUCAAUCAAGAUUACACCUCUGCUGCAGCUGUCUGGCUGCCGUCUAUUGUGCCCUCCAACAUUUUUCCUCUCUCGGAUGGCCUGUUUUGGGCAGUACCACUUUCGCUCUCUACCUGUGCUGGCUGUACCCCCUUUCCUUAAAAAAUCUAGUCCCCCCUCUUCCCUUAAAACAAACCCCCGAGUUUGUCAGCAGACCAUGGAGACUUCAAAUAGGGCUGGUCUCUCCUCCCAGGGCCUGGCACUUUAACUCUGUUCAAAUUGCUCUCCUUCUAAUUGGUUUCCCAUUAUAAUUUGCCUUGAGCCUGGGCCUCCAAAGCAGAAAAAAAAAAGUCCCCAAGACAUUCCUUUUUGUCACGGGACAAACUCUUGCUGGAGGCCCACCUUAACUUUCCUUCACCUAUGGGACGCAGGACAGAGGCAGUAGCCACGCCCAUUCCUCACAGCCAAUCAGCACGUUGGAAAGAAUGAGUCAGUAUCUCUUCCAAAGGCAGUUCAGGAUUGGUCCCAGCAGGGGCCUGCUGAUUCUGCAGAACCUAAGCAAUGUGCAAAGCUUAUUUUUGUUUCUCAAACAUCCUAGGGGCUGGAGUGAUGACCAUCACCGUAAACAGAACCCCACUUCCUCAAGCACUGCUUUAACGUUGCAAAGCAUAGGACCCUGAGUUUUCUCUGGGAGGGCCACUUGCUGACCUAGUCCUUAGGAAGAUGAAAUGUCUGGUGGCAGGGAGAAAAUGAAAUAUUAAUCCUGGAGAACUUUACCCCAGAGUAUAGAAUAUUAAGUCUUUUAGAUUUCCCUGGUGGCAAAGUUGUUUGCUUCAGCACCCGGGUGAAUACAAAGCAUGAGUCAACAGAGGAUGUUAGCCUGUCAGAAAGACCACAGACCCUUUUAGGGAGAAUGGGAAGGGUACUGCCUCUCUGGAAAAAUCUAGAUGCCAGUCUCAUUUGAGAGGCCCUUGGAGCCCAGACAUCUGUGGUCUUUCUGGCUGGAGUAGGUGUUCCAAUGUCCCUCUCUGAGGCUCUUUACCAAAAAAGAAGCAGGAGGCUUCCUUUGGCUGGUGUGCAGGGAGGAGGUGGGAGGGCAGGAAAAAAAUGGUUGGGUGCAGGAAUAGGGCCUUUGCAGCCCUUGGACGCUGGAAUUUCUGCUGCUUACAGGUGAGGAGAAGCAUUCUCUUUUCUCUGAAAAGUCAUGUGGAUAUGGGGCAAGGAAGAAAGAAAAAAGAGAGAGAGAGAGAGAAAGCCCCCAAACUUUUAUAUUUGGUGGUCCUUGGCAGCAUUGCCUUCAUCUGAGAGAUGCUGAGCAGAGUCAAGGGUUAUGAAAUUCACGUUCGCUUGAAUUCACAGAACGCAAGGAAUGGCAUUCUAGGGUCUGCAGCUAUGCCAGUCGGAAAUAAUCCCCAGGCUAAAGGCAAAGUGACUCCAAAAAGGUGACUCUAGAAAACCAGUUCUUCUUGACCUCUAAAGCAGGAGCAACUGUGGACGACCCAGUUUGGAAUUUUCUUGCCAUUGUAGGAUGCGCUACAAUGACUCAUCUCUUUAAGUGCAUUUUAAAGAGUGGCUACUGUAUUUACUACAUUCAGGCCUCAUUUUGUGAUGAUUUGGAAACUCAGAAUGGGCAAAAACACAUGUGUGAUGUUUUGGUGGCAAAUAUUAAAGAGUCAGGGUACAAGUAAACAGCUGUGGAAGUCAACAUUCUCUGUUAAACCCAUGAGCCACUUCAAAUUCCUUGGUGAGAUAGUAUGAGAUAAUAAAGAUUCCAUUAAGCCUGGAAACUCAAUCAUGACAUUUUAAUUACACCAUAAGUGAAUAUUUGUUAAAUAAAACUAUGUGAGUGACAUAGUAAGACCAGUAGUUCUCCUUCAGGACUCUAUCUACUUUUUAGAUAAAGAAAACAUUUUCCUAAGGAAAUUUUAUACAUUGCUUAAGAAAUGUAAGACAGAUUCCACCUAUAUGAGGUAUCAAAAGUAGUCAAACACUUAGAAACAGAAAGUCGAAUGGUAGUUGCCAGGGGCUGGGGGGAGAGGGAAAAGCGGAGUUGUGGUUUCAUAGGUAUCGUUUUUGCAAGAUGAAAAAGUUCUGGAGCUCUGUCAUACGACAGCGUACAUGUAGUUAACAUUACUGUACCGUACACUUAGAAAUGGUUCGGAUGGUAACUUUCAUAUGAUGUGUUUUUUAACCACAAUAAAAAAAUGAAAGAUAUUAAAAUGGAUUAGGAAAGUCAGGGGCACCAUGUAAAGUCAUUUAACAAGCAUUUGAUUUUAGGCCAGUGCUCUGGCCUUUACCACUUAUGUGAUUUACCACUUACGUGAUUCUCCUUUAUGAAGGUUUCAGCAUAUAGAUGUUUUUCAAUGUCUCUUGAGUGACACCAGAGGUAGCCAUGAGAAUGCCGACUAUAGAGGAAACUUCCAGAAUUUUUAGAUCCUAAAAUUUCCCGGCAGUCUAGAAAUGGCAGAAGGGUUCCACUGAGUCACAGGCAAGCUUCCACUACUAUGUCACACUCUGAAUUAUUCUUUGAGUAAAUAUGACAAAAUGUGACUGGGUUGUGAUGGUGGUGUGUACGGUGCGGCAUUAAUGAGGCAAAAUGGGAGAGUCCGUUGCUGUCCAGGCUACUCCCUCACUGCUCACUGGGCAAAGAGUCGGGUUUUGGGGUGGUGGUGGUGAGGAGAAUGUUUGAUUUUGCUUGUAAAUGAAGUCAGUGCUAUAAAACUUUUUGUGGGUAAACAAUUCAUUUGUAUUCAGCCUAAAAUAGUGUUGAAGUAUCUAGUUACUAAACAUGAAAUUUUCAUUUGUCUUUAAAAA